rnacentral:rRNA from 1 species
UACAGAGGGUGCAAGCGUUAAUCGGAAUUACUGGGCGUAAAGCGUGCGUAGACGGUUACAUAAGUCAGAUGUGAAAGCCCCGGGCUCAACCUGGGAAGGUGGUGCCGAACUGGCCUUCUUGAGGGCGACAGGGGAGAGUGGAAUUCCGGGUGUAGCGGUGAAAUGCGUAGAGAUCCGGAGGAACACCAGGGGCGCAGGCGGCUCUCUGGGUCGGCCCUGACGCUGAGGCGCGAAAGCUAGGGGAGCAAACAGG